rnacentral:rRNA from 1 species
GACGAACGCUGGCGGCGUGCCUAACACAUGCAAGUCGAGCGAAUGAAGUUCCUUCGGGAAUGGAUUUAGCGGCGGACGGGUGAGUAACACGUGGGCAACCUGCCUCAUAGAGGGGAAUAGCCUCCCGAAAGGGAGAUUAAUACCGCAUAAGAUUGUAGUACCGCAUGAUACAGCAAUUAAAGGAGCAAUCCGCUAUGAGAUGGGCCCGCGGCGCAUUAGCUAGUUGGUGAGGUAAUGGCUCACCAAGGCGACGAUGCGUAGCCGACCUGAGAGGGUGAUCGGCCACAUUGGGACUGAGACACGGCCCAGACUCCUACGGGAGGCAGCAGGGGGGAAUAUUGCACAAUGGGGGAAACCCUGAUGCAGCAACGCCGCGUGAGUGAUGACGGCCUUCGGGUUGUAAAGCUCUGUCUUCAGGGACGAUAAUGACGGUACCUGAGGAGGAAGCCACGGCUAACUACGUG